CCUACGGGCGGCAGCAGUGGGGAAUAUUGGACAAUGGGCGAAAGCCUGAUCCAGCCAUGCCGCGUGUGUGAAGAAGGCCUUCGGGUUGUAAAGCACUUUCAGUGGGGAAGAAAGCCUUGGGGCUAAUACCCUCGAGGAAGGACAUCACCCACAGAAGAAGCACCGGCUAACUCCGUGCCAGCAGCCGCGGUAAUACGGAGGGUGCGAGCGUUAAUCGGAAUUACUGGGCGUAAAGCGCGCGUAGGCGGUCUGAUAAGCCGGUUGUGAAAGCCCCGGGCUCAACCUGGGAACGGCAUCCGGAACGGGCAGGCUAGAGUGCAGGAGAGGAAGGUAGAAUUCCCGGUGUAGCGGUGAAAUGCGUAGAGAUCGGGAGGAAUACCAGUGGCGAAGGCGGCCUUCUGGACUGACACUGACGCUGAGGUGCGAAAGCGUGGGUAGCAAACAGGAUUAGAUACCCGAGUAGUC
rnacentral:rRNA from 1 species